GUUUGUCUCUGAGACGGAAUACACCCAAUCUCAUCUGAUCUGCAAAGCUAAGCAGGGUUGGGCCUGGUUAGUAUUUGGAUGGGAGACUACCUGGGAAUACCAGGUGCUGUAAGCU
ensembl:rRNA 5S_rRNA 5S ribosomal RNA